GGAGAGGUGGCAGAGUGGUCGAUUGCGGCGGUCUCGAAAACCGUUGACCCUGCAAGGGGUCCGAGGGUUCGAAUCCCUCCCUCUCCGCCA
rnacentral:tRNA from 7 species